AUGUCGACUGACGUGGCUGCCGCUGACAUCCCGGUGCCUCAGGUGGAGGUAGCCGCCGACGCUGCCGUUGACACACCGGCGGCGAAGCCGGCCAAGGCGCCCAAGGCGGCCAAGGCCAAGAAGUCCACUGGCCCGAAGAAGCCCCGCGUCACCCCGGCCCACCCGUCCUACGCCGAGAUGGUGUCGGAGGCGAUCGCCGCCCUGAAGGAGAGGAGCGGGUCGAGCACCAUCGCGAUCGGCAAGUUCAUCGAGGACAAGCACAAGGCGCACCUCCCGGCCAACUUCCGCAAGAUCCUGCUGACCCAGAUCAAGAAGCUCGUCGCCGCCGGCAAGCUGACCAAGGUCAAGGGCUCCUACAAGCUCGCCAAGGCCCCCGCCGCCGUCAAGCCCAAGACGGCGACCAAGAAGAAGCCCGCCGCCAAGCCCAAGGCCAAGGCGCCAGCCAAGAAGACCGCCGCCAAGUCGCCGGCCAAGAAGGCCGCCGCGAAGCCCAAGGCCAAGGCCCCAGCCAAGGCCAAGGCCGUCGCGAAGCCCAAGGCGGCGGCGAAGCCGAAGGCGGCCGCCAAGCCCAAGGCCAAGGCCGCCGCCAAGAAGGCGCCGGCCGCCGCGACCCCGAAGAAGCCCGCCGCCCGGAAGCCGCCCACCAAGCGGGCGACCCCGGUGAAGAAGGCCGCGCCGGCCAAGAAGCCCGCGGCCAAGAAGGCCAAGAAGUAG
rnacentral:rRNA from 1 species